AACGAACGCUGGCGGCAGGCUUAACACAUGCAAGUCGAACGCGUGUAGCAAUACACGAGUGGCGCACGGGUGAGUAACGCGUGGAUAUCUGCCCUUUGGUGCGGAAUAACCCCGGGAAACUGGGGCUAAUCCCGGAUGGUUCCUACGGGAUAAAGAUAUAUCGGCGAAAGUUUAGCCCGCGUCCGAGUAGCUAGUUGGUGAGGUAAUGGCUCACCAAGGCUCCGAUCGGUAGCUGGUCUGAGAGGAUGACCAGCCACACUGGGACUGAGACACGGCCCAGACUCCUACGGGAGGCAGCAGUGGGGAAUAUUGGACAAUGGGCGCAAGCCUGAUCCAGCCAUGCCGCGUGAGUGAUGAAGGCCUUAGGGUUGUAAAGCUCUUUCACCCACGACGAUGAUGACGGUAGUGGGAGAAGAAGCCCCGGCUAACUUCGUGCCAGCCGCCGCCGUAA
rnacentral:rRNA from 1 species